rnacentral:misc_RNA from 1 species
UCCGGUUUAGACCGGCGGUCCCGCCAGAAAUGGUAACUGGCAGCAGGGGUUGCGCCCGUUGCGGGACUUAACCCAACACCUCACGGCACAAGCUGACGACAGCCAUGCAGCAGCUGUGCACCCUCCCUUGCGGGUCCCUUCCCUUUCGGGUCAGUACCAGGUGCGUGUCAAGCCUCGGUAAGGUUCUGCGCGUUGCAUCGAAUUAAACCACACGCUCCGCUGCUUGUGCGGGCCCCCGUCAAUUCCUUUGAGUUUUAGCCUUGCGGCCGUAGUCCCCAGGCGGUGCACUUACUGCGUUAGCGGCGGCACCGAGGGGGUCGAUACCCCCGACACCUAGCACUCAACGUUUACGGCUGGGACUAC